ACAUUAUAUUAGUUCAGAUUUUGAAGCACGAGUGGCCAGCAAGAUGGCGAAGCUUUAUUCCUGAUCUUGUCUCAGCAGCUAAAACUAGUGAAACAAUCUGUGAGAAUUGCAUGGCUAUAUUGAAACUUUUGAGUGAAGAGGUUUUUGAUUUUUCGAGAGGAGAAAUGACACAGCAGAAGAUUAAAGAGCUUAAA